UUGACAUGAACAAAGCAAAGCCUGUGGACAAACCAAGAGUGGAUGAAGUCAUGUACAGAGCUGGGCUUGGCGAGCGCAGCUGGAGACAGAAGUUAAAGGACAGCAUGUGCUUCGCCGUGUUCCACUACAACAUGUUGGAAAACCAAGAUGGAUCACUCAGGCCAGGGUUUGGGCUCGGCCCCUGACUUCCAGUGGAGGGAAAUCUUAAUGCUUCAGCAC